AUUGAACGCUGGCGGCAUGCUUUACACAUGCAAGUCGAACGGCAGCGCGGGGCAACCUGGCGGCGAGUGGCGAACGGGUGAGAAAUACAUCGGAACGUACCCAGAAGUGGGGGAUAACGUAGAGAAAGUUACGCUAAUACCGCAUACGUUAUACGGAAGAAAGUGGGGGACCUUCGGGCCUCAUGCUUUUGUAGCGGCCGAUGUCUGAUUAGUUAGUUGGUGAGGUAGAGGCUCACCAAAGCGACGAUAAGUAGCUGGUCUGAGAGGACGACCAGCCACAAUGGGACUGAGACACGGCCCAGACGCAUACGGGAGGCAGCGGUGGGGAAUGUUGGACAAUGGGCGCAAGCCUGAUCCAGCAAUGCCGCGUGAGUGAAGAAGGCCUUCGGGUUGUAAAGCUCUUUUGUCAGGGAAGAAACGGUUGGGGCUAAUAUCCCCGGCUAAUGACGGUACCUGAAGAAUAAGCACCGGCUAACUACGUGCCAGCCGCCGCGGUAAUAC
rnacentral:rRNA from 1 species